GACGAACGCUGGCGGCGUGCCUAAUACAUGCAAGUAGAACGCUGAAGGAGGAGCUUGCUCUUCUGGAUGAGUUGCGAACGGGUGAGUAACGCGUAGGUAACCUGCCUGGUAGCGGGGGAUAACUAUUGGAAACGAUAGCUAAUACCGCAUAAGAGUAGAUGUUGCAUGACAUUUACUUAAAAGGUGCAAUUGCAUCACUACCAGAUGGACCUGCGUUGUAUUAGCUAGUUGGUGGGGUAACGGCUUACCAAGGCGACGAUACAUAGCCGACCUGAGAGGGUGAUCGGCCACACUGGGACUGAGACACGGCCCAGACUCCUACGGGAGGCAGCAGUAGGGAAUCUUCGGCAAUGGACGGAAGUCUGACCGAGCAACGCCGCGUGAGUGAAGAAGGUUUUCGGAUCGUAAAGCUCUGUUGUAAGAGAAGAACGAGUGUGAGAGUGGAAAGUUCACACUGUGACGGUAUCGUACCAGAAAGGGACGGCUAACUACGU
rnacentral:rRNA from 1 species